rnacentral:rRNA from 1 species
UUAAAUGGCUGCAGUAAUUUGACUGUACAAAGGUAGCAUAAUCAUUAGUUUUUUAAUUAAAAGCUUGAAUGAAAGGUUGGACGAAGUAAAAUCUGUCUCUUUGUAAUAAAAUUAGAAUUUAAUUUUUAAGUUAAAAAGCUUAAAUUUUUAUAAAAGACGAGAAGACCCUAUAGAGUUUAAUAAUUUUUAAAAAAUAAUUAAUUUAGAUUUAUUGUUUUUAUUUUUUAUAAAUUAUUUUAUUGGGGUAAUAAUAAGAUUUAAGUAAUUCUUUUUUUUUAACCAUUAAUUUAUGAAAUAUAUGAUCCAUUAUUUUUAUGAUUAUAAG